GGUUUUUUCCAUCCUGUUUCCAAUUUUUUUUUUCUUUGUCUUUUUCAGACAGGGUCUCGCUCUGCAGUUCAGGCUGGCCUUGAGCUCACUUUGUAGCCCAGGCUGGUCUCGAACUUGCAACGAUCCUCCUGCUUUAGCCUCCUGAGUGCUGGGAUUACAGGCAUGCGCCACCACCCCCGGCUCCAAUUAUUUUUUUAAGAUCUUGGUUAUGGUGCAAUUGCAUGCCACAAUCUGGAUAGCCGCUCUGAGACUUUGAAACUAAUUCCUAAACUCCCAAGAGUCUUAAAAAGACAAGCCUGAGAAUCGGGUCUGCGCUUUUCACCUACCUAGGUCACCUUCUCCUCGGCUACCUCUCAGCCUGCAGCAGCUGCUGGACCCCUGAGACUGGAGAGCCAUGGCUGCCAUGGCCCACAGGCCUCAGUGAGCAGCAAAGGCGUGGAGGAUCAGCAGACCCGGUGCCCCUGGAGCACAUUAUUCUGCCUGCCUCACAUACCUAUUAUGGGGUUACAGUAUCUAAAUGCACUGUGGAGGAAUACCACUGCUUUGGGGGGAAUUUUAAGAGAAAAUUGGUCAAAGAUAGAACCAAGUAUUUCAAAAAUUUUGAAAAUAAUAGAGUUCAAAUUCAACUAUCUCAUUUUUUAACCUAAAAAGAGGGAAAUAAGGAAAUGGAAUGUGGCGGAGGUCAUAUGUGUGUGGGAGAAAUCCCACCUUAUAGGUUUUGGUGAGAAUAAGAACAGCUCCCCUCUGUAGGGGAUAGAUAUGUCCAUGCUGGCUUUCCCGUCCUCUCUUGCACUGAAGCUUAGAAGACACAAAGAACCUUAUGGACUCAGAGCUGAGAGCUGGCAGUGCAGGGAGCUAGAGGCAGGCGGCUUUCUCUCUUUGACCAGGGCGAAGGCAUAGGAAGUCUAUCCAAGUAAAGGCCCUAAUUUUAAGGGAAAUGAAGGUACACAUUCCCCUUCCUAGCUUUAAAUUCGGUGUAUCACCCUUUAAAUCAUCUUGUGAUCCAGUCAUAGCUAGAACCUUGGCCAAUGCAGAGAGUAUGUGACUACAAAAACAGCAUAGAAAUUAAGGGGUCUGGGUUCAGCCUCCCAGAUAAUAAUAGCCUCCUAGCCUCCCAGCCUCCCAAAAAAUAAUAAUAGUUUUGACCCUAAUAGGCAUGUGAGCACCAAACAAAAGACCAAAUAUAGAAGAACUUAGCCCAGUACUUAGCACAUAGUGAUAGUUCAGUAAGGACAGUUAUUGUUCAUUUUUAAAUCUUAGAAUUAGGGCAUUAGCAGAAAAUGACAAUUGUCCCCAGAUACUCAUUCUUCUUUCCAAAUAAAAUCUGCAUGGCUACAUGGUGUUGUGGUAUAGAUUUCAAUGUCCUG
rnacentral:lncRNA from 1 species